UAGAGUUUGAUUCUGGCUCAGAACGAACGCUGGCGGCGCGUCUUAAGCAUGCAAGUCGAACGGCAAGGAAGUGCGUUGCACUUCCCUAGAGUGGGCGAGACUGGGUGAGUAACACGUGGGUGACAUACCUUUUAGUUGGGGAUAGCUAUUAGAAAUAGUAGAUAAUACCGAAUGUGACCAUUACAGUUAGAGUGUAAUGAGGAAAGGAGCUAAGGCUCCGCUAAAAGAUUGGCCCGCGGCCCAUUAGCUAGUUGGUGAGGUAACGGCCCACCAAGGCGAUGAUGGGUAUCCGGCCUGAGAGGGUGAUCGGACACAUUGGGACUGAGAUACGGCCCAGACUCCUACGGGAGGCAGCAGCUAAGAAUAUUCCACAAUGGACGAAAGUCUGAUGGAGCGACGCCGCGUGGAUGACGAAGGCCGAAAGGUUGUAAAAUCCUUUUAAACUGGAAGAAUAAUCAUGGUAGGGAAUGACCGUGAGGUGACCGUACAGUUUGAAUAAGCAACGGCUAAUUACGUGCCAGCAGCCGCGGUAACACGUAAGUUGCGAGCGUUGUUCGGAAUUAUUGGGCGUAAAGGGCAUGUAGGCGGUUUUGAAAGCUUGAUGUGAAAUCCCACAGCUUAACUGUGGAACUGCAUUGAGAACUACAAGACUAGAGUUACUGAAGGGAAACUAGAAUUCCAAGUGUAGGGGUGAAAUCUGUAGAUAUUUGGAAGAAUACCAAUGGCGAAGGCAAGUUUCUGGCAGAUAACUGACGCUGAGGUGCGAAGGUGCGGGGAGCAAACAGGAUUAGAUACCCUGGUAGUCCGCACAGUAAAC
rnacentral:rRNA from 1 species